rnacentral:rRNA from 1 species
UUAGUCUUGUAAUUUAAGACUGGGAUGAAAGAAUUAACUAAAAAGAUUUAGUUUCUGAGAUGUUAAAUUAAUUUCACUUUUUUUUAAAAAGGAAAAAAUAAAUUUUAAAGACAAGAAGACCCUAUAAAUCUUUAAAUAAAAAUAAUAUAAAAAUUAUUAUUUAUUUUCUGCUGGGGCGGCAAGAGAAUAAACAUCUCUAUUUUUUUAGAAAAGUUUUAAUACCUGAAAUUUUCAAAAAUUGAAUAAGAUACUUUAGGGAUAACAGCGUAAUUUAUUUGGAUAGUUCUUAUUGAUAAAUAAGUUUGCGACCUCGAUGUUGAAUUAAGUAUCCUCUACUGUGUAG